rnacentral:rRNA from 1 species
CCUACGGGUUGCAGCAGUGGGGAAUAUUGCGCAAUGGAGAAGAACUCUGACGCAGCAAUACCGCGUGAGCGAAGAAGGUCUUCGGAUCGUAAAGCUCUGUUAUCAGGGAAGAAGAAAAUGACGGUACCUGAUGAGCAAGUCCCGGCUAACUACGUGCCAGCAGCCGCGGUAAUACGUAGGGGACAAGCGUUGUCCGGAAUCACUGGGCGUAAAGGGCGCGCAGGCGGUGAUUUAAGCAGGAUGUGAAAGGCUACGGCUCAACCGUAGACAUGCACCCUGAACUGGGUCACUUGAGUAUUGG